AGCAGCCGCGGUAAUUCCAGCUCCAAUAGCGUAUAUUAAAGUUGUUGCAGUUAAAAAGCUCGUAGUUGAACUUCGGGAUCAAUUGAUUGGUCAUGCUUUAGUAUGUACUGGUCAUAUUGGUUCUCACCUUCUAAAGAACCAUAAUGUCAUUCACUUGAUGUUAGUGGGGAAUUAGGACUGUUACCUUAGAAAAAUUAGAGUAGUUUAAAGCAGGCUUACGCUUGAAUACAUUAGCAUGGAAUAAUGAAAUAGGACAUCGCAUUCUAUUUUGUUGGUUUCUAGGAUCGAUGUAAUGAUUAAUAGGGAUAGGUUGGGGGCAUUAGUAUUCAAUUGUCAGAGGUGAAAUUCUUGGAUUUUAUUGAAGACUAACUACUGACGAAAGCUAUUUGCCAAGGAUUGUUUUCAUUAAUCAAGAACGAAAGUUAGGGGAUCGAAGGCGAUCAGAUACCGUCGUAGUACCUUAACCAAUAAACUAUGCCGACUAGGGAUCGGAUGAUGUUGUAAUUUUUUAAAUGUACUA
rnacentral:rRNA from 1 species